AUUGAACGCUGGCGGCAGGCCUAACACAUGCAAGUCGAGCGAGCGGCGGACGGGGGAGUAAUGUAUGGGGACCGCCCGUUAGAGGGGGAUAACUACUGGAAACGGUGUCUAAUACCGCAUACUGUCCGCUUACCCAUAUGGGGUUAGCUAGUAGGUAAGGUAAUUGCUUACCUAGGCGACGAUCCCUAGCUGGUCGGAGAGGAUGAUCAGCCACACUGGGACUGAGACACGGCCCAGACUCCUACGGAGGCAGCAGUGGGGAAUAUUGCACAAUGGGCGAAAGCCUGAUGUAGCCAUGCCGCGUGUAUGAAGAAGGCCCUAGGAUUGUAAAGUACUUUCAGUCGGGAGGCGUUACCGACAGAAGAAGCACCGGCUAACUCCGUGCCAGCAGCCGCGGUAAUAC
rnacentral:rRNA from 1 species